AUGACCUGGGCUCUUCUCCUGCUCAGCCUCCUCAGCCAGGGCCCAGGAACCUGGGCCCAGAAUGUCCUGACUCAGCCUCCCUCAGUGUCUGGGACUCCAGGACAGACAGUCACCAUCUCCUGUACAGGAACCAGCAAUGACAUUGGGAGAUAUAGCUAUGUCUCCUGGUACCAGCAGCAGGAGGGCACAGCCCUCAAAAUGCUGAUUUAUAAUGUCAACAAUCGGCCUUCAGGGAUCCCUGAUCGCUUCUCUGGCUCCAAGUCUGGCAAGACAGCGACCCUGACCAUCUCUGGGCUCAGGCCUGAGGACGAGGCUGAUUAUUACUGUGGCUCUUACAGCGGAAUGAAUUCCUGGUGUUUUUCCCAAUCUGGCAGCAAAUUGACACUUUGA